AAAGGACCUGCAAAUAUGGAGCCAUUUACAAUAAACAUUAGAUUUGUAUAAAGCAAUUGCACAAAGGGGAGUGAGCAGACGACAAUGGCUGCCCAACAGAAAAUGGAGCUGGACGAGGUUGAGUAUAAGAAAAAAAUUAGGAACUGUUUUAGGUAGCAUCAAGAAAGACCAGCCAAUAGACCUCAACAAGAUCAGUCCAAAUUCUAAGUGGAUUGCAAACAAAGAUGCCCUUGACGAUGGUGAUAAUUAUGAUCUCUUUAAAGAGUGCAACCAAUAUAGUGAUGUGCUUGAACGUGACUCUAGAGAGGUUCUAAUCCAAGAGCUUCAUCAUCGUGACCUAAAGCCCUCUAGUGUAGCUCUCUUCACAGCAGAAAGAGUCAUUGUCUGUCUGAAUUUUUGGAACUUUGUUCUUAGUUUGUAGGUUGAUUUUAUACAAAGUAGAUUGUCAUUGAAAAUUUGAAAAAUAUUAACAUCUAGUUUUCAUUUAUGCACCAUGCAAUAUGCAUUUUGCAAUGCAAUACAAUUAGCAAUAUGAACAUAAAUGAGAAAAAAUAAUAACCACAAUUCAUGGGUUAAACUCUCAUUUUUAUUUA